rnacentral:rRNA from 1 species
AGAGUUUGAUCAUGGCUCAGGACGAACGCUGGCGGCGUGCCUAAUACAUGCAAGUCGAACGAGAAUUUCUUACACCGAGUGCUUGCACUCACCGUAAGAAAUUCGAGUGGCGGACGGGUGAGUAACACGUGGGUAACCUGCCCAAAAGAAGGGGAUAACAUUUGGAAACAAAUGCUAAUACCGUAUAACCAUGAUGACCGCAUGGUCAUUAUGUAAAAGGUGGUUCUGCUAUCGCUUUUGGAUGGACCCGCGGCGUAUUAACUAGUUGGUAGGGUAACGGCCUACCAAGGUGAUGAUACGUAGCCGAGUUGAGAGGCUGAUCGGCCACAAUGGGACUGAGACACGGCCCAUACUCCUACGGGAGGCAGCAGUAGGGAAUCUUCCACAAUGGGCGCAAGCCUGAUGGAGCAACGCCGCGUGAAUGAAGAAGGUCUUCGGAUCGUAAAAUUCUGUUGUUAGAGAAGAAUAUGAGUAAUAGUAACUGAUUAUUCACUGACGGUAUCUAACCAGCAAGUCACGGCUAACUACGUGCCAGCAGCCGCGGUAAUACGUAGGUGGCAAGCGUUGUCCGGAUUUAUUGGGUGUAAAGGGAACGCAGGCGGUUUUUUAAGUCUGAUGUGAAAGCCUUCGGCUUAACCGGAGAUGUGCAUUGGAAACUGGAAGACUUGAGUGCAGAAGAGGAGAGUGGAACUCCAUGUGUAGCGGUGAAAUGCGUAGAUAUAUGGAAGAACACCAGUGGCGAAAGCGGCUCUCUGGUCUGUAACUGACGCUGAGGUUCGAAAGCAUGGGUAGCGAACAGGAUUAGAUACCCUGGUAGUC